UAGGGAAUCUUCCACAAUGGACGCAAGUCUGAUGGAGCAACGCCGCGUGAGUGAAGAAGGUUUUCGGAUCGUAAAGCUCUGUUGUUGGUGAAGAAGGAUAGAGGCAGUAACUGGUCUUUAUUUGACGGUAAUCAACCAGAAAGUCACGGCUAACUACGUGCCAGCAGCCGCGGUAAUACGUAGGUGGCAAGCGUUGUCCGGAUUUAUUGGGCGUAAAGCGAGCGCAAGCGGAAUGAUAAGUCUGAUGUGAAAGCCCACGGCUCAACCGUGGAACUGCAUCGGAAACUGUCAUUCUUGAGUGCAGAAGAGGAGAGUGGAAUUCCAUGUGUAGCGGUGGAAUGCGUAGAUAUAUGGAAGAACACCAGUGGCGAAGGCGGCUCUCUGGUCUGCAACUGACGCUGAGGCUCGAAAGCAUGGGUAGCGAACAGG
rnacentral:rRNA from 1 species